rnacentral:SRP_RNA from 1 species
AGGCAGGCCCCGUGCGGCGUCAUGCCGUGAACCAUGUCAGGGCCGAGAGGCAGCAGCAUUAAGCGGAAGUUGGCGUGCGCCGCGGAUAAGCCAGCCCCGA